GCCAGGCACAGUGGUGCAUGCCUGUAAUCCCAGCAACUCAAGAGGCUGAGACAGGAGAAUGUCAAGUUCAAAGCCAGACUCAGCAAAGGCAAGACGCUAAGCAACUCAGUGAGACCCUGUCUCUA
rnacentral:sRNA from 1 species